rnacentral:rRNA from 1 species
CGAUGAUGCCCAGCUUGCUGGGUGGAUUAGUGGCGAACGGGUGAGUAAUACGUGAGUAACCUGCCCUUGACUCUGGGAUAAGCCUGGGAAACUGGGUCUAAUACUGGAUACUACUUCCUGCCGCAUGGUGGGUGGUGGAAAGGGUUUUACUGGUUUUGGAUGGGCUCACGGCCUAUCAGCUUGUUGGUGGGGUAAUGGCUCACCAAGGCGACGACGGGUAGCCGGCCUGAGAGGGUGACCGGCCACACUGGGACUGAGACACGGCCCAGACUCCUACGGGAGGCAGCAGUGGGGAAUAUUGCACAAUGGGCGGAAGCCUGAUGCAGCGACGCCGCGUGAGGGAUGACGGCCUUCGGGUUGUAAACCUCUUUCAGUAGGGAAGAAGCGAGAGUGACGGUACCUGCAGAAGAAGCGCCGGCUAACUACGUGCCAGCAGCCGCGGUAAUACGUAGGGCGCAAGCGUUGUCCGGAAUUAUUGGGCGUAAAGAGCUCGUAGGCGGUUUGUCGCGUCUGCUGUGAAAGCCCGGGGCUCAACCCCGGGUCUGCAGUGGGUACGGGCAGACUAGAGUGCAGUAGGGGAGACUGGAAUUCCUGGUGUAGCGGUGAAAUGCGCAGAUAUCAGGAGGAACACCGAUGGCGAAGGCAGGUCUCUGGGCUGUUACUGACGCUGAGGAGCGAAAGCAUGGGGAGCGAACAGGAUUAGAUACCCUGGUAGUCCAUGCCGUAAACGUUGGGCACUAGGUGUGGGGGACAUUCCACGUUUUCCGCGCCGUAGCUAACGCAUUAAGUGCCCCGCCUGGGGAGUACGGCCGCAAGGCUAAAACUCAAAGGAAUUGACGGGGGCCCGCACAAGCGGCGGAGCAUGCGGAUUAAUUCGAUGCAACGCGAAGAACCUUACCAAGGCUUGACAUUCACCGGACCGCCCCAGAGAUGGGGUUUCCCUUCGGGGCUGGUGGACAGGUGGUGCAUGGUUGUCGUCAGCUCGUGUCGUGAGAUGUUGGGUUAAGUCCCGCAACGAGCGCAACCCUCGUUCUAUGUUGCCAGCACGUGAUGGUGGGGACUCAUAGGAGACUGCCGGGGUCAACUCGGAGGAAGGUGGGGAUGACGUCAAAUCAUCAUGCCCCUUAUGUCUUGGGCUUCACGCAUGCUACAAUGGCCGGUACAAAGGGUUGCGAUACUGUGAGGUGGAGCUAAUCCCAAAAAGCCGGUCUCAGUUCGGAUUGAGGUCUGCAACUCGACCUCAUGAAGUCGGAGUCGCUAGUAAUCGCAGAUCAGCAACGCUGCGGUGAAUACGUUCCCGGGCCUUGUACACACCGCCCGUCAAGUCACGAAAGUUGGUAACACCCGAAGCCGGUGGCCUAA